rnacentral:rRNA from 1 species
GACGAACGCUGGCGGCGUGCCUAAUACAUGCAAGUAGAACGCACAGUUUAUACCGUAGCUUGCUACACCAUAAACUGUGAGUUGCGAACGGGUUAGUAACGCGUCGGUAACCUGCCUGGUAGCGGGGGAUAACUAUUGGAAACGAUAGCUAAUACCGCAUAAUAUUAAUUAUUGCAUGAUAAUUGAUUGAAAGAUGCAAUUGCAUCACUACCAGAUGGACCUGCGUUGUAUUAGCUAGUAGGUGAGGUAACGGCUCACCUAGGCGACGAUACAUAGCCGACCUGAGAGGGUGAUAGGCCACACUGGGACUGAGACACGGCCCAGACUCCUACGGGAGGCAGCAGUAGGGAAUCUUCGGCAAUGGACGAAAGUCUGACCGAGCAACGCCGCGUGAGUGAAGAAGGUGUUCGGAUCGUAAAGCGCUGUUGUAAGAGAAGAACGGGUGUGAGAGUGGAAAGUGCACACUGUGACGGUAACUUACCAGAAAGGGACGGCUAACUACGUG